UACCAGCACCCCGAGUGGUCGGGACGAUUAUUGGGCCUAAAGCAUCCGUAGCCGGUUUUACAAGUCCUCCGUUAAAUCCAGCUGCUUAACAGAUGGGCUGCGGAGGAUACUAUAAGACUAGGAGGCAGGAGAGGCAAGCGGUACUCAGUGGGUAGGGGUAAAAUCCGUUGAUCCAUUGAAGAUCACCAGUGGCGAAGGCGGCUUGCCAGAAUGCGCUCGACGGUGAGGGAUGAAAGCUGGGGGAGCAAACCGG
rnacentral:rRNA from 1 species